UCGAUUAUGGUAAAUUUAGAAUAUAUUAUGUAUGUAUUUUUUAAAAGGCGUUUUAAAUUUUUGUUAUUAUUCUUUAGACUUCAUACGAAUUUAUUGAGACAGAAGAGUGUAGUAAAGAAAAAUUCACUGAGAAUUUCAUCUCAAAUCAAUCUAUUGAAGAUACUAACGAAGAUUUGGAGCUGGUAAGUGUUAUCACGACAUUCAAAAAAUUGCAAUUUUGUAAAUUAAUGAUGCUUGUUUUAGGGCAAAAAUAGUUCUGUAGAGAGAGAAUGCGUUCAAGAAAAACCAGAUCAUCUCAGUUUGGAUGUUAACGAACCAAAUUUAACAAAAUAUUUGGAUAUAUCUUUCAAUGAUUCUGUUGAAGUAGAUCAAGGUCGCCCGAAAGAAAAAUCAGAUUACUCAACUUUGACCAAUGAAAAUAAUUUGAUUCAACGUUCGAAUGUCGAAGCUACUGAAUCAUUUACUGUUGAACUAGAUAAAGAGUGUCCCACUAAAUUACAGAUAAAACGAAAAUGCUGUACGGAUGUAACAAACAAAAAAUACCGCAUUUCUCCGAUUCACUCAAAUGAAAGUGAUGUUGACCACACCGAUUCUGAUCCGACUUAUUCA